CUGAGUGAGGGCCCUCUGGGUCCAACCUCCCACCCGUGUUUAUUGUACCUUGUUGCUUCGGUGCGCCCGCCAGAGUCAUUUAAAAACCCUUUAUCCAUGACGUCUGAGUACAUAUAUAAAUUAUCA
rnacentral:misc_RNA from 1 species